rnacentral:rRNA from 1 species
CUCCAUAAUAUAAGAUUAAUAAUUUUUCUUAUUAAAGUAUUAAUAUUUAUAUUUUCGGCAUUAGAUAGGCGUGCGCCUGAUUAGCUUGUUGGUAAGGUAAUGGCUUACCAAGGCAACGAUCAGUAGGGGACCUGAGAGGGUGAUCCCCCACACUGGUACUGAGACACGGACCAG